UUUCUUGGAGCUCAUCACCAGAGGCUGUAGCCUGAGAGGCUCCAGUUCAUAUUGAGCACGGCUGACCAGAGGUCUGUCCAGCUCUCGAUGCCUGCCUUUGGCAUAUUGGAAGACUUUACAGGGAAGGAAACUGUCAUCCUUACCUGGUCUGGCCGACGUGACACCAGAUCAACAGCAAUGUGGUUGACUCUGAAUUGCCUUCUGGACAAUUAGGGAUGGGCAAUAAAUGAUGCCUAGCCAGUGAAGCCCGCAACCUGUUAAUGAAUAAAGAAAAAAAAACAUGCA